rnacentral:tRNA from 1 species
GCGGUUAUCGUAUAGCGUCUAUUAUGGGUCCUUGCCAAGGACCAGAUGGGGGUUCAACUCCCCCUACCCGCUCCA